rnacentral:rRNA from 1 species
ACAGCAGCCGCCACGGUAAUACGUAGGGUGCAAGCGUUAAUCGGAAUUACUGGGCGUAAAGCGUGCGCAGGCGGUUUGUUAAGACAGAUGUGAAAUCCCCGGGCUCAACCUGGGAACUGCAUUUGUGACUGGCAAGCUAGAGUCUGGCAGAGGGGGGUGGAAUUCCGCGUGUAGCAGUGAAAUGCGUAGAUAUGCGGAGGAACACCGAUGGCGAAGGCAGCCCCCUGGGCCAACACUGACGCUCAUGCACGAAAGCGUGGGGAGCAAACAGGAUUAGAUACCCGUGUAGUCCCUGUCUCUUAUAC